AAUGACCUUCAAGACCCCACCCACGUUCCUGCAGCUGGGAGAAGAAGCCUGCUGAAAGAUGAAGGCUUGACCAUCUCUGCUCUGCAGGACCUGCACAGGGAUCUCUUCCCACCACUCUUCAAGGAUGCAUUCAGCAGCAAACAACCUAACCUCCUGAGGGAGAUGGUGGCAGCCUGGUCCCUCCCAUGCCUUCCUGUGGGAGCCCUGAUGAAGACUCCUGACUUGGAGACCUUGAAGGCUGUGCUGGGUGGCCUGGAUUUGCUGAUGACAAAAGGUUCGACCCAGGAGGUGGAAACUACACGUGCUUGAUUUAUAAGACGUCAACCAUAAUUUCUGGAAUAUGUGGGCUGGAAUGGAGGAUGGUGUCUGCUUCUCCAGACAUUA